rfam:Ovis aries breed Texel chromosome 12, whole genome shotgun sequence.
UUCAUGGUGGUCCAGUGGCUAAGACUCUGCACUCUCAAUCUAGGGGGCCCAGGUUCCAUCCCUGGUCAGGAAA